GAUGAACGCUGGCGGCGUGCCUAACACAUGCAAGUCGAGCGCUGAGUUUUGAACUGGCUCUUCGGAUUGAGUUUCAAAUGGGAAACGGCCGACGGGUGAGUAUCGCGUAGACAACCUGCCCAAUACAAGGAGAUAGAGCUUGUACACGAAUAUUAUUACUUUAUGAUACUUAUCUAGUGAAUGCUAGAUAGGUCCAAGAAUUAGCGGUAUGGGAUGGGCCUGCGUCUGAUUAGCUAGUUGGUGAGGUAACGGCUCACCAAGGCGACGAUCAGUAGCCGAGCUGAGAGGGUGAACGGCCACAUGGGAACUGAGCCACGGUCCAAACUCCUACGGGAUGCAGCAGUGGGGAAUAUUGCACAAUGGGGGAAACCCUGAUGCAGCAACGCCGCUUGAACGAUGAAGGCCUUUGGGUCGUAAAGUUCUGUUCUAGGUGAUGAAAACUGACAGUAACCUAGGAGAAAGCCCCGGCUAACUCCGUG
rnacentral:rRNA from 1 species